rnacentral:rRNA from 1 species
UACGAAGGGGGCUAGCGUUGCUCGGAAUCACUGGGCGUAAAGGGUGCGUAGGCGGCGCGGUAAGUCGGGUGUGAAAUCUCGGAGCUUGACUCCGAAACUGCAUUCGAUACUGCCGUGCUUGAGGACUGGAGAGGAGACUGGAAUUUACGGUGUAGCGGUGAAAUGCGUAGAUAUCGUAAGGAAGACCAGUGGCGAAGGCGGGUCUCUGGACAGUUCCUGACGCUGAGGCACGAAGGUCAGGGGAGCAAACGGG